AUGGGGCCCUUGGCGAUCAGGUGCUCCACGGGGCCCAUCGCCUCCGACAUGGUCCGGCGGAUGGACGUGAACUUCUGCAGUGGGAUCCUGUCAAGACGGCAGCCGGCGGGCGCGGCCAGCAUGCCAGGCACCUGGGGCUGGCGCCCCGUCCCCACGGAAGCCUCAGGAGAGCGCCUCGUGGCUCCUGGGUAUCAGAGACGGCUGGAUGGGACGCGGCCCCUGGGGGCAUCUCCUGGGGCUUGGAGCAGCUCAGCGCAGGUUGGUGGUGGGGGGCUGACUCCCUGUAGGUGAGGGUUCAGGACGAGAACCCUGAGGGGCCUGUGGACCGGCGGGGCAGUGGGGGCACAGGCACCUCGACACCGCCGCACACUGCAGCAUCACGGACUGGCCGCACAGGCAGCGGGACCUCUGUGAAGACAGAGUGAGCGGGAACAGGAGGGGUCAGGGGGCACAGGGCCAUGAGCAAGAGGUUAGGGAGGCUGCAAAGGAGGGGCCACACGGGGUGGGAGAUGGGGUGCUCGAGGGAUCCCGGACCCCCAGGCCAGGCAGUGUGUGUGCCGAGUGCAGGAGGUGGGGGCAAACCUGGCCAGCCGGGAAGGCGGGCUGGGCAGGCAGGUGAGAGCAGGACCGGAGUGGGGGGAGCACGGAGAGAAAAGCCCACCGUGGGGAAGGUGGGGGGCCAGAGGGACCCUCCUGCCCCUGGGCAAGGCUGCCUGGGUGCUGAAUGGGGACUGUGAACUUGGGGCCCCAGCUGUGUCCUCCCAGGAUGGGGGACCCCCAAUGAGUCCGCACCUCGGUUUCCUUGCUCAUGGAGGGGUCACUUUGCCCCUAUAAUGGGGCUGUCCCAGCAGAGACCCCAGCUCCCGGCGGAGCCCUUGGUGGGCAGAGGGCCAGGGCGGGUCCCGCAGGCUGGUGGAGGCUGGCCCCAGGCCCCCAUCUACGUGGACAGAGAGGCUGAGGCUCAGGGAGGUGGGGUCUUGCCCCCGCUCUGGGGCACAGGCCAUGGGGUCUGCAGGGUCAGAGGACGCGGAGCUGGGGCAGCAGGGCAGAGCAAGCAUUAGGGCCGGUUUGGUGGCAAAGCCCCCCACCCCCUAAAUGACCCAUCCCGAGGGGUCUGGGACGAGGCGUCCUUUGGAGGAGGGGCUGGGGGCUGGGCAGGGGCUCUGGUGGCGGAGACAGCGAGGGUCCCGCUGCUCCGCAUGCUUGGGGCCCCAGGGCCCUGCGGGAGGGCCAAGCCGGAAGCAGACAGACAGGCGCCUGUGCCAGGCUGUGCCUGCUCCCUAGGGGGGCAGCUGAGCUUAAAUGACAGGCAGACCCCUGGACUCUGCCGAGCACGUGAGCCCCUUUAGCCUCGACUGCGGGCAGAGUCGCGCAUGGGGGCGCUGGGGAGUGGGAGGUGGACCCAUGGCACCAAGCAGGAGACGGGAGGGGGAGGCAGAGGCUCCAGCCGGUGCCAGCCACCGGGCGCG
rnacentral:lncRNA from 1 species